UACGUAGGGGCUAGCGUUGUCCGGAAUCAUUGGGCGUAAAGCGCGCGUAGGCGGCCAGAUAAGUCCGGUGUGAAAGCCACAGGCUCAACCUGUGAAUGCCGCUGGAAACUGUCUGGCUAGAGUCCGGGAGGGCGAGUGGAAUUCCUGGUGUAGCGGUGAAAUGCGUAGAUAUCGUAAGGAAGACCAGUGGCGAAGGCGGGU
rnacentral:rRNA from 1 species